rnacentral:rRNA from 1 species
GGACCAAGGAGUCUAGCAUGUGAGCGAGUCAUUGGGCAUUUUGAAACCCAAAGGCGAAGCGAAAUCGAAGGCGAGCCUUCGGGCAAGCCGUGGGAUGAUGGGCGGUCUACGGCCGCCUCGCAAUCCCGGGGUGUCUCUUUCUCAUUGCGAGAUGAGGCGCCCUCUGAGCUCACACGCUGGGACCCGAAAGAUGGUGAACUAUGCCUGGUCAGGACGAAGCCAGGGGAAACCCUGGUGGAGGUCCGCAGCGAUUCUGACGUGCAAAUCGAUCGUCAUAUCUGGGUAUAGGGGCGAAAGACCAAUCGAACCAUCUAGUAGCUGGUUCCCUCCGAAGUUUCCCUCAGGAUAGCAGGUACCGGAGCGUGCUCAACGCACGACUGUAGUCACAUGCGGUAAAGCGAAUGAUUAGAGGUAUUGGGGUCGAAACGGCCUCAACCUAUUCUCAAACUUUCAAUGUGUGCGAUCUCCGGCUUACGUAUUCGAAGCCGGCUGAUUGGAUACGAAGGUGCCUAGUGGGCCAUUUUUGGUAAGCAGAACUGGCGCUGUGGGAUGAACCAAACGUGGAGUUAAAGUGCCUAAACCACGCUUAUGGGAAACCAUGAAAGGCGUUAGUAACUAAAGACAGCAGGACGGUGGCCAUGGAAGUCGGA